CACUCAACUUAGAGCUGUCCACAGAGCUACACGGCUAUACGGUACGAUAAAAAACUAAUCUGCUCACUCAGUUCGUUUAGUUUGAUAAUCUGUGCUCUUUGUAAAUGUCAAAUUGUGGCGGGAUUUUAAGCGUUGUUCCGAAUAUUUUUUUCUGGAAGAAUUGUGCGGUUUUUUUUCCAAGGUGAAUUGAAAAUCAGUAACUGUCCAAAAAGUGACAAGAACCGAUCACCUAUCACCGAAUUGAAGAAGUGACAUAAAUAAGAUUCUGCGCGAUGGACCCCAGUAUACUCGCAGCAAUGGACAAAGAAGCACUGAAGAAGCAGAUUGAAAACAUGAAGUACCAGGCUUCUAUGGACCGUUGGCCGCUAUCCAGGAGCAUCGCAGCGUGAGUAACUCUCCAGUGCUUUGAUAAUUACGAAAA
rnacentral:lncRNA from 1 species